UACGGGGGGGGGCAAGCGUUGUUCGGAAUUACUGGGCGUAAAGGGCUCGUAGGCGGCCAACUAAGUCGGAUGUGAAAUCCCCAGGCUCAACUUGGGAACUGCAUCCGAUACUGGAUGGCUUGAAUCCGGGAGAGGGAUGCAGAAUUCCAGGUGUAGCGGUGAAAUGCGCAGAUAUCAGGAGGAACACCGGUGGCGAAGGCGGUUCUCUGGGCAUUACCUGACGCUGAGGAGCGAAAGUGUGGGGAGCGAACAGG
rnacentral:rRNA from 1 species